rnacentral:rRNA from 1 species
UACAGAGGGUGCAAGCGUUAUCCGGAUUCACUGGGUUUAAAGGGUCCGUAGGCGGAUCUGUAAGUCAGUGGUGAAAUCUCAUAGCUUAACUAUGAAACUGCCAUUGAUACUGCAGGUCUUGAGUAAGGUAGAAGUAGCUGGAAUAAGUAGUGUAGCGGUGAAAUGCAUAGAUAUUACUUAGAACACCAAUUGCGAAGGCAGGUUACUAUGUCUUAACUGACGCUGAUGGACGAAAGCGUGGGGAGCGAACAGG